GAUGAACGCUGGCGGCGUGCUUAACACAUGCAAGUCGAACGAAGCAUUUGCGACAGAUUUUUUCGGAAUGAAGUUGCUUAUGACUGAGUGGCGGACGGGUGAGUAACGCGUGGGUAACCUGCCUUGUACUGGGGGAUAGCAGCUGGAAACGGCUGGUAAUACCGCAUAAGCGCACAAUGUUGCAUGACAUGGUGUGAAAAACUCCGGUGGUAUAAGAUGUACCCGCGUCUGAUUAGCUAGUUGGUGAGAUAACAGCCCACCAAGGCGACGAUCAGUAGCCGACCUGAGAGGGUGACCGGCCACAUUGGGACUGAGACACGGCCCAGACUCCUACGGGAGGCAGCAGUGGGGAAUAUUGCACAAUGGAGGAAACUCUGAUGCAGCGACGACGCGUGAGUGAAGAAGUAAUUCGUUAUGUAAAGCUCUAUCAGCAGGGAAGAUAGUGACGGUACCUGACUAAGAAGCUCCGGCUAAAUACGUG
rnacentral:rRNA from 1 species